UACAGAGGGUGCAAGCGUUGUUCGGAAUUAUUGGGCGUAAAGCGCGUGUAGGCGGCUUUGCAAGUCGGGUGUGAAAUCCCUCGGCUCAACCGAGGAAGUGCGCCCGAAACUGCAGAGCUUGAGUGCCGGAGAGGAUGGCGGAAUUCCCCAAGUAGAGGUGAAAAUUCGUAGAUAGUGGGGGAGGAACACCCGGUGGCGAAGGCGGCCAUCUGGACGGUAACUGACGCUGAG
rnacentral:rRNA from 1 species